UAGUUCUUAAAUGUGUCUCCACCUCCCCAUACUCUCCCUUUCCUGACUAGAAUGUAUGGCCAGAGAGAGGGGAACACUGGCCCUGGGAAUGACAGGACAAGGACAGUUUUACUUCAAUCUGGCCUCCCAGGAGCUGUGGAGCAGAACCAGUACCAAGGCCAGAAUGGGCCUGUGAAUUUGACCCAGUGACCCACUUCCCAUUCACAGGCACACUGCUGAGUCUGCUGAUUUACUCUGCUCCUCUUACAGUGUCCCCUGGGCCCUACAGGGCGUCCCAGUUCAGCUGCACCAGCUUCUCUAGGGUUCCGCAGCUCCCACAGGGCUCAGCUCCUAUGGGUGUCCCAGUCUGUGUCAGGGUUCUGUCACUCUAAAGGGUACCCAUCUCCUACAGUGUACACCAGAUCUUACAGAUUCCUUUAGAUCUCACAGGAUCUCCCAGUCCCUAUGGGCCCCUCGGCUCCUGUAGAAUGUGUCAGCCAUUAAAGGGCACCCCUAGCUCUUACAAUAUACCCCAACUCCUAAGGGUCUCCCAGCUCCUUCAUGGACUACUCUUGCAUAGCCAGGAUGUCUCGGCUGAAGUGAAUUGCAUUUGUGUGGCCACCUCUGAGGUGGCUGGAGACUAUGAAAAAGAUGUGAAGUGGGUCUUUUCUUGUAGCAGUGACAUGAGCAGAGGUCACUCCACGGAGUGUAAGCUGCAGUUCUCCUCUGUGAGGUCAAGGCUGGAGACAUUCUUCUCCACAAUGGCCUCAGUUCAGCAGCACACUCUUCUCCACACUUGUCUUCUACAGUCUGAGAAUGAAGUUUUAUCAACACUGAUGCCCAGGUAGCACUCUGGGCCCUCUGAUCAUCCACGCAUUUGCCAUCUCAGGUCACCUCUCCACGGGGCCCAGAAAAUGCCACGCACCACUGUGCUUUGGUGUGAUUCACUUGGCCACUUAGCCCAGGAGUCCCCAGUAGGUGUCCAUGUAGUUCGAAGUUACUGUCCUUAAAACAGGGGUAAUGAUAAAACAAUUGUAUUCCUAAUAGCUUCUUAUUGAACAGGUGUUAUGUAGUAGCCCUUCAAUCUUCUAACCAACCAUAAAAUUGGCAUUGAUACACCCACAGGAUAGAAACGAGACUGGCCAAGUGACACAGUCAAGUGUAGACUCCCUGACUUUAGAGUACACAGUCAACUCUAGAGCAUGACUCUGUCAUAAACAAGCAGGGAGUGUUUAUAUUGCAAUCUAUAAACUUAGAGGUCUGGGACAAGGCUGAGGAGAAACCAGGGCAUUCUCUGAUGCUGCUAAGACAGUCCACACCUCCCUGUCCCAGGUUCAGGAGACUCCCAGCAUGGUUGCUUACAUAGGUUGCUUACGGCCCUGCUGCCAACUGUUACUCUCUGUGGAUGUCCCACAUGCGCAUCUGAGCGCACCCUACAUGCCCCUUCUUCUUCUCCAAAAUGCUUGGCAUCUCCUGUCGUGGCUAAGACACCAGAAUCCUGUCCUAACUCGCCUCACCCUCUCCACACUCCUUCCAGGCACCUGUGGAAUAUUUAACUACGUAAAGACGCGUUACAUUUGUUUAUGCUGUGAAAUAUUACUGUAGCUGUGUAAUGAUGGGUUACAUUUGUUUCACCUUGCCUGCCUAGGGCACCUGAUUGGUCUAAGAAAGAGCUGCAGUAGCUAGGCAGAGAAAGAAAGGCUAGGCAGGGCUGGCGGGCAGAAAGAACAAGUAGGAAGAGAAAUCUAGGAAGAAGAGAGGGGAACAAAGAGGAGAAAGAAGGAUACACCCCCGGGCCAGAAGCCAGUGCUGUGGAUAUUGUUCUAUAUAAAUAAAACACUGAUGGCCAGUGACCAGGCAGGAAGUAGGUUGCCAGGCAGGAAGUAGGUGGGACAAGGAGAGAGGAGAAUUCUGGGAAGCAGAAGGCUGAGGAGAGAGACACUGCCAGCUGCCGCCAUGACAAGAAGCAUGUGAAGACACCGCAGCCUUUGCCUGACCGCUCCAGGAAACCUGGGUCAGCACGGAUGGUUGCCAGAUGACCAGGGACUUUGGGGGGACAUCAGUCAGCAAAUUUGCCCUGCUACUUGUGCAUGGACAGUUAGCAAGAAAGAGGGGACCACUGCCACGUUCGCUGAGCUCCUGAACUGUUUACGCUGUUGGCUACUGUGGGCUAAUGGAGCCAUUCCGACCAGCAGAGGCACGAAACACACCUUGUUCAUUGAAAGAAGCUGGACGCUAUGAAGCCUGACAGCUGAGUGCCGUGAUUCAGUUACAAUCUUCUUCAGCCCUGGAUUCAUGGUGAGAGGAGAAAGCACUCCGAGCUUGGAGAAAAAGUGGUUAAAACAAAAUCCUUAAUUAUUUUGAUAUUAAGGACAUGACUCAGUCUUCUCUUCGCUUCUCGAACAACUGAGCCAGGCACCUCCAGCCCUCGCUGAGUCUCUGUCUCUUUCUCUGUCUGCAUUCAAGUGCCUGGAUAACAGACCCGGCUUCCCAACUGCCAUCCUCUUGGCCAGCACCAGAUAGUGCUGUCGGUGGCCAAAUCUGCUUGGCAUUGUCUAUGAUUUGUGAAUUCCCUGUACACGGACCAACUUGUCAAAUUAAACCCACUCCUGCUCCAAGCUGCAGAGCAGCCGGGAUCUGGGAGGUUCUGCACCCCGACCUGGUCCCCGGCCUUACAGACACACAUCUGCUGGCUGCUUCUCACCUGGUUGUUCUGAAUGCUGCAGCCCCCUCCCUAAACCUCGCCUCCUGUCUGUCUUGUUGAAGAAGGGAGAAGAAAAAGCUUCCCUGUUAUGAAGGCUGGCACUCCAAGGGCUAAAUUACUCACUGAAUUCAGAAAAUCUAUUUUUUAAUGGUUAUUCUUUCUUUGCGUAGCACUUUUUAUUCCAGCGAUGCUUCCUUGCGCGGGGAAUUGUUGACUUUUUAUGCUUUAGAUUUAUUAGACAUGUGUCAAGUUGUCAACCUCCUACCGUUUGCAUUUGUGUCCACCUUGCAAACAGCAGGGAAAAAGACUUUUUUUUUCUACCAGCGUUCACUUCUUGGCAGUUCUGAAACAAAUUUUUGAACAGUUGCUGUUCCUAUUGAUAGCAAUAGUUUGAUGUUUAAAAAAAAAAAAAAAGCAGACAAAAAACAGGGUUUUAUUUUCCCCUAAAUUUUU